UACCGUCAAGGUGGAAAUAUUCCUGUUGAAAUUUGAAAAUGUUAGGAUUCUGAUUUACUGUAUAUAUUGAUUUUUGGUCUAUUUCAAAAGUUAGUUUCUGUGCCUUGAUUGUUUUUAAUUUGUUUUUAGCAUCAGCACGUUGGCGAAUUGUACAUCAAAAAGGUAUACCAGAGAAAAUGAAAUCAUUGGUUUAAAACUUUAGUGACAGCUAGUCAUGGUAGAUAAAUUUUCAAGAAUCUUUUGCUAACACAGUGGUUAGUCCAAUCUCUACCAGGUUUUCAUUAUCAAACUAUGGAGAUUGGAGUAUUCUUUUGCUUCAAUAGGAUCAUGCUGGCUGUUUAAAAUCAGUGUCUUGUUCCAAGGCAGAUGUUGCCAAAAGGCUGUUGCUUGACCAAUAAAGUGCGGUCAUUUAAUAUAUUCUUCAAAGGGUUGCUCAAUUGAGAUUGAUUGAAGCCUUAUAGAGCUUCACUCUUGAAUGACUAGUGUUUCAAAGGUGUAAUUAUCUGACUAAUUGCAAUAAGGGUUUUUCUUUUAUGCUAUUAACUUGAGAUCUGGAUGCUAAGGAAUUGAUAUGGUCAAACUGUUUUAGAUGGUAGUGAAUGCCGUUUAAACAUCCUCAAUGGAGGAAGUUUCAUUUUCCAUCCCAUUACUUUCAAUCUUUUUCCUUUUCUAUCCUUCUUUCCCAAUAGGAAUGGUUGGCAACCCGAAAACCUUUUUUCUUUUUUUGCUCGACGGUUGGGAAUUGGUUUUGUUGCCUAUGCGCUUUCCCCUCUUUAUCUAGAAAUAUCAUUGAUAUGUGAUGAUAAUUGUACCGUCAAGGUGGAAAUAUUCCUGUUGAAAUUUGAAAAUGUUAGGAUUCUGAUUUACCGUAUAUAUUGAUUUUUGGUCUAUUUCAAAAGUUCGUUUCUGUGCCUUGAUUGUUUUUAAUUUGUUUUUAGCAUCAGCACGUUGGCGAAUUGUACAUCAAAAAGGUAUACCAGAGAAAAUGAAAAUCAUUGGUUUAAAACUUUAGUGACGGCUAGUCAUGGUAGAUAAAAUUUUCAAGAAUCUUUUGCUAACACAGUGGUUAGUCCAAUCUCUACCAGGUUUUCAUUGUCAAACUAUGGAGAUUGGAGUAUUCUUUUGCUUCAAUAGGAUCAUGCUGGCUGUUUAAAAUCAGUGUCUUGUUCCAAGGCAGAUGUUGCCAAAAGGCUGUUGCUUGACCAAUAAAGUGCGGUCAUUUAAUAUAUUCUUCAAAGGGUUGCUCAAUUGAGAUUGAUUGAAGCCUUAUAGAGCUUCACUCUUGAAUGACUAGUGAUUCCAUGGUGUAAUUAUCCGACUAAUUGCAAUAAGGGUUUUUCUUUUAUGCUUUUAACUUGAGAUCUGGAUGCUAAGGAAUUGAUAUGGUCAAAGCAAAUAUGUUAUGAUUUUGGAAGCAAAUCUUGAAUAUUUUGAAGAGUUAUUAUUGUAUUAGCAAAAUAUGCUAAGGAAUUGAUAUGGUGCUAUAACAAAACAGUAGAGAAAAUUUCCUGUGA
rnacentral:lncRNA from 1 species